UACGUAGGUGGCAAGCGUUGUCCGGAUUUACUGGGCGUAAAGAGCGCGCAGGCGGUCGUUCAAGUCGAGUGUGAAAGCCCCCGGCUCAACUGGGGAGGGUCACUCGAUACUGAUCGACUCGAAGGCAGAAGAGGGAAGCGGAAUUCCCGGUGUAGUGGUGAAAUGCGUAGAUAUCGAGAGGAACACCUGCGGCGAAGGCGGGUUGCUGGGCUGAUACUGACGCUGAGGCGCGAAAGCCAGGGGAGCGAACGGG
rnacentral:rRNA from 1 species